UACGAAGGGGGCUAGCGUUGCUCGGAAUUACUGGGCGUAAAGCGCACGUAGGCGGCUUUGUAAGUUAGAGGUGAAAGCCCGGGGCUCAACUCCGGAAUUGCCUUUAAGACUGCAUCGCUAGAAUUGUGGAGAGGUAAGUGGAAUUCCGAGUGUAGAGGUGAAAUUCGUAGAUAUUCGGAAGAACACCAGUGGCGAAGGCGACUUACUGGACACAUAUUGACGCUGAGGUGCGAAAUCGUGGGGAGCAAACAGG
rnacentral:rRNA from 1 species